rnacentral:misc_RNA from 1 species
GGAAAUAUGAGAUAUUUGAGCUUAAGAGUAUUAUGGGCUGCUUGGUUAUCGGGAAAGACCAGGGAAAUUAUGUUUUUUUUUCAGUUUGGAACUUUGCUGCGCUGAGCUGUAUGUAAAUAUCUUGUUAUAGUCGAGUUGUUCUUGCUGAAUUAAGUUCUUUCAAACAAAUUCAUUUCAUUUAUGUUUUGAUCGAUUCAGAAUAAGUUUUUUUUUUUCUUU